CAAUCUGUCACCAUAUUCGAUUGAACACUGGCAAUCAAAAUCGAUGAAGGAAACGUGGGGUUGUGGUGGUGCAGAUCUGGCUGGAAAAACGUUUUCAGAUCUCAAAAUCAUGGUGUUAGUGGUGGUGACAGGUGUUUUCUUUCGAUCAAUCUGUCUAUGAUUAUUCAAGCCUAAAUCAUGGAAGGGAUUAUUUAACCCCAAAUCUUAACCGGAGGAUCUGGAUUAGUUUGUGUGUACUGAUUACGUUAUUGGUGUUUAGAGGCUUCGAUAAGUGAUGAUCAAGAACCCUAAUUCUCUGCCUGUCUUCUACAAUAUUGAAUCGUCUCUGAAAUCUCAAAGGGUGUAUUGGUGUUUGAAGUUCUUGAAUCAUGAUUGUCUUUGAAAUCUCAAUUCUGCAAUGAUUUAACACGACCAUUCGAUUUCAGCCUAAUCGUAAGUCCUCUCCAUCCUUCCCUCUCGGCACAUACAUUUGGGAAUUGAUUUCCUGAUUUCAGAUCUGCUUUUAUGCUUCACCUUCUCUUAUUCGAAUAACCAUUGCGAAUUUGAUUUUGUGCAUCAGGGUAUAGUACAGAUAUAGUGUCAUGGAACAUCAACGUGGAUACUGUUUUGAGUUAGACUGUUGUUUUAUGUUAAUGAGAUGCUAUUAGUUCUUUUUUUGGUGAAACUAUUGCUUACUCAAAUGGAUGGUUAAGUUAUGAUAAGUUUAAUACACUUCCUUUGAUGCAAACUAUAUAUAAGUUGAAUUUUGGGUUAUUGGGUUAUUGUUCAGUCUCAGAGCUUUAAGACAUUUAAACUACACAAUUUCAUUAAUUAUAGUCUCACGUAGGGGUGGUAAUCGUGUUGAGUUGGCGGGUUGCAGGUUGGCGUGUCAUUUGAAAAUUUUUAUUUGAAUUUGGCGGGUUGGCAUGCCAUUAUUUAUAAUCUUAAGGCUGAUCGAUAUGGUGCAGAAUGGAAAGGGAGGCUAGAACUUUCAACUUGACGCUUAUAAUUGAGAAACAUAGGCUGAUCGAUAUUAUGAACUAUAUCUGAGUCAAUGUGAAUGCCCUCUUGGUUGAGGAAUUAAGUGUUCCUGAGCAUCUUCGCUUCAAAAAACUGGUUGAUGGAACGCUGAUUACUGUUAGAGAAGACCUUGGAAAACACACCAAGAAAUGGUGCAGGCUAGGUUGCGUUGUUUGUGACAAAAACGAUUAGUGCCACCAGUAUUGAUGCUGCUAGACUUCAUGCCAUACGGGUACUUGAAUGUUUGGAGAAAUAUAUAACUGAACAUGCUGCUGGUGAUGCAGGUACACAUUCGGUUAUCUCCAAAGAAAACAGCUUUGUACAAGCAAAGGAGCAGAGUUCAUAUUAUUACUCUUCGAUACCUGUGAUCCUUCUAUGAAAACAAUACUUGAGGCCUAUGCGAUCAAAACACACUGGGGCGCCACACACUUUUUUAACACCAAGAUCUUAGUCAUGGAGAAUUAGAAUAGUUGAUGAUAACUAAUGGACAUCUUAAUAGUCAAGGGGUACUGCUAUCACUGUUGCAGCAAUUGGCAUGUGAUAUUGGGAAUGAUACAUCUAAGAAACUUGGUUGGAUGAUGGAUCUGGUGGUGGUGAUUAAACCAACUGAUGGGAUCAUCACAAUGUAUAUAAGGCCGAUAUUUGAACAAGUGUACUCGAUCAGAUGAUUGUUCCCACAACUUUAGUUGCUGAGCUUUCCAGUAUUCGUGUGGUCACGAAACUCAUAAACUCGACGUUAAGGAGCAUGUAAGUAAUUUAGAGAUUAUUAGAAUUUUUGUAAUCAGAAUUGGACAUUUUGGUUUCACUUAGUAUUUUUUUUUUUUUUUUU